AUGCUACAUAGACGCGCCCUCCCCACCCGGCUUCCCGCUGCCCCAGUUCACUCUCCCAGGUCCACCCAGGGCAUCGCAGUGCCAUCCCAAGCCCUGGCCUUGGCAGAGCCCGUGCCAGGUGCACACCACAUGGCUGUGUGGAUGGAGUGGAGGCUGCUGCCUGUCCUCUCUAGGAACUUCUGGGCUGCCCUGGGCAUCAUAUGCAUCCGAAUUUACACUGCUCCAAGUCCUUCAAAAGACAGGAGGACCCUCCUGCACAGGUACCUUUCCCUUCCCACCUGGGGUGCUUUGGGAGUCCCAGGAUCUUUGCAUCACCACCUCCCGCCCCACAGGGUGCAUUGCCAAGACAGACUUCCCUUUCAUUUCUUCUUUUUCAAAAUUAUUUUUCCAGUAUUAAGGACUAGACCUAGAGGCGUCACACUAAGCUACAUCCCAGUCCAUUUCUUUGUGACAAGUUCUUUCCAAGUUGCUGAAUUGCCUAGGCUGGGCUGGAACUUGUAAUCCUCCUGCCUCAGCCUCCUAGAGUGCUGGGAUUACAGGCCCGGCCUCACUUAUUCUUUUUCACUGAGCCUCUGUUAAAACAACUAUAAAAUAUCUUUUAAAAAACAAGUAUAAAACAUCUUUUUAUCACAACUAUGGCUUUUUAAGUAUUUUCAUUAAAUAAUGUUAAUUUUUAUCAUGGAAACAGAUCUUUAAUUUGUUUUUUGGGUUUUGUUUUGUUUUUUG
rnacentral:lncRNA from 1 species